GAUGAACGCUGGCGGCGUGCCUAAUACAUGCAAGUCGAGCGAACAGACGAGGAGCUUGCUCCUCUGACGUUAGCGGCGGACGGGUGAGUAACACGUGGAUAACCUACCUAUAAGACUGGGAUAACUUCGGGAAACCGGAGCUAAUACCGGAUAAUAUAUUGAACCGCAUGGUUCAAUAGUGAAAGACGGUUUUGCUUUCACUGAUAGAUGGAUCCGCGCCGCAUUAGCUAGUUGGUAAGGUAACGGCUUACCAAGGCAACGAUGCGUAGCCGACCUGAGAGGGUGAUCGGCCACACUGGAACUGAGACACGGUCCAGACUCCUACGGGAGGCAGCAGUAGGGAAUCUUCCGCAAUGGGCGAAAGCUUGACGGAGCAACGCCGCGUGAGUGAUGAAGGUCUUCGGAUCGUAAAACUCUGUUAUUAGGGAAGAACAAAUGUGUAAGUAACUAUGCACGUCUUGACGGUACCUAAUCAGAAAGCCACGGCUAACUACGUG
rnacentral:rRNA from 1 species